AAACAAAAGAAAGAAUGAAGAAUACACAACAAGCUUUGAUUUUAUUUAUGGUUUUUGUUCUCAUUUCAUCCGGGAUGAGGUUCGAGACAAUGGCAGUUCGAACUAGUGAUCUACCACGACCCUGUGAUAACGAUUAUCGUUGUACACCAUGGUGCGGAGACUGUGGGUACUGUGGUUGUAUCAAUGGUGAGUGUCUUAGUGAUAACUGCCCUCCUGUGAUAGUAACUCAUAAAGGAUAGUUGUUUUGAAGGAUAAUUGAUGUGAUGUACCAUCUAUAAGACUUUUGUUGAUUAUUAAA